UACGUAGGGUGCGAGCGUUAAUCGGAAUUACUGGGCGUAAAGCGUGCGCAGGCGGUGAUGUAAGACCGAUGUGAAAUCCCCGGGCUUAACCUGGGAACUGCAUUGGUGACUGCAUUGCUGGAGUAUGGCAGAGGGGGGUGGAAUUCCACGUGUAGCAGUGAAAUUCGUAGAGAUGUGGAGGAACACCGAUGGCGAAGGCAGCCCCCUGGGCCAAUACUGACGCUCAUGCACGAAAGCGUGGGGAGCAAACAGG
rnacentral:rRNA from 1 species